ensembl:lncRNA
GCGGUACUUCAAAGACUGUCCAGUUGUUUAGACGCCUCCAGGGCCUGGGAACCUGCGAAAGUUACAUCUUUACUCACACAGCUCAGCAACAGAACCUCCAGAUCUUAUCAAGAAGGAAGACUCAUGGAAAGUGUACGGGUCUCACCCAGAAGAAGCACAGACCAUUCCUCUAACAUCUGACUGUCUAGAACUUAGUCACAUGACCUCACCUGAAGCAAAGGAGUCUGGGAAGCAUAUUCUAGCCUGCAGGACACUUGUAUUUUCCAUGGAAGAAGGAAACUUUCCCAAGGAGAUAAGAAGAGAUUCAGGAAAAGAUAUUAAUUAAUGCAAAACGUUUUUAUUGAACACCUGUCUUUUGCUGGUCAGCGUGUGCAACCCGUACCCCGGAUGUAACCUUGAACCAUAUCAGGAAGUUCCUCUCAGAGUUUCCAAGGGUGUUCAACAAAAAAAACUGUUUUCAAAUUAAAUGUACAACAAUCAGAGGAUGUUUGAAUAAACUGUAUUAUGUCCAUAGGACUAAACA